CUGUCAUGUUUUUCGAAUAGUAAAAUAAACAUGUCAAGAGAAAAAAUAGUGAUCUUAUUUAUAGAAAGCUACUAAAGUAUGAAUAAAUACCUACGCAAGAGUAACAUAACAACAUAAAAUGUACUAAUUAAGGUUCAAUGGACUGGCACUGGUUUCACCAAGAACGAUGAGCGAGAAGCGAUUGGAGCUAAAAACUAGAAAUAAGAUGGCGCGCGAGCAGCGAGAAGCGAGUAUAGUUCUGUUGCAACCGGAAAGCGAUGAUCACACGGCAAAUCAAAUCCUGAAGACUAUAGCAGCCACGUCAAAGAAAGAUAUACCUAUCUACCUACCUACCUACCUACCUAUUAAAAAAAAUGUUUAUUCUUUCUCGUUUGAUAUGUAAGAAUGUAUGUCAAUAAGAUGUUAUUAGUUAAGACUGCGUCGACCGUCCAAUGGCACCCUCAUUGGGGCAAUUAUGAUUUCUAAAAAAUACAAGGCAAUUAAUUAAACUAUCAUAUAAAUGAUCAUAUUAAUAUAAUAUGGGAUCCUAUUUGAAAGCAAUUUUACAAUCAUGAUCAUACACGCCAUAUUUGUUAAAAUUGUUGUUAUUUAAUUACCCUAUGAUUAAAAAUUAAAUUAAAUUGAUUUAAGACCAACAAAGGAUCAAUUUCGUCAUUUUAAUUUUAAUCUUUCAACGAAUGUUAGUAGGCAUACACACAAAUUUAUUAACUAACUACAUAUUUACAGAUGAUGGUGUAAUAACAACAAUUUUGUGUGGUACUAUACAGCACGUCCACGGAUGAUUUUAUUAUUUCUUUUGCGGUACAUAUUCAUGAAAAGAAAUGUACUUUUAUGUACUUAUGUUUUAAAAAAAUGUACUCGCACGGUUUUGGCAUAGCGACAUACAGGUCGUGGUCGUGCUGGGUAGAUACUGCCUGGCACGACCACACUAUAUUUAUGGUUAAUUUAAUGUCAAAUGAAUACAAAACAAAUGUACUCAAAUUGUACUAUGUACAAGCACAUCAAAAUGUGACAGUCAUACUGCAAAAAUCGCUGUCAUGAUUAAAAAAGGUGAACCUAAGGGCUGAUUUAGACGGCGCGCGAACUCGCAUGCGACUUUCAUUACAUUUUUUUUGAUCGGCUGGUGGCAUCGUUUCCGCCAUUAUAAACGAUGCUCCGAUACAAAUACAACGCUGCUCGUCGCAGUGCGGCGUAAACGCCAUCGACAAUAAGGUCCCUUUACAUUGAUGAUCCCACAUUUAGACAUUAUGCGCGCGCGAACUCUCAUGAGAUUUUAGUUAUUUCAACCAGCCGAUCAAAAAAAAUGUAAUGAAAGUCGCAUGCGAGUUCGCGCGCCGUCUAAAUCAGCCCUUAGGUUCACCUUUUUAGAGCACCGUACAAAACUUUGUUCACGGUGCUCUUAUUUAAUCAUGACAGCGAUUUUUGCAGUAUGACUGUCACAUUUUGAUGUGCUUGUACAUAGUACAAUUUGAGUACAUUUGUUUUGUAUUCAUUUGACAUUAAAUUAACCAUAAAUAUAGUGUGGUCGU